rnacentral:rRNA from 1 species
UACGGAGGGGGCUAGCGUUGUUCGGAAUUACUGGGCGUAUAGCGCACGUAGGCGGUUUUGUAAGUUAGAGGUGAAAGCCUGGGGCUCAACCCCAGAAUAGCCUUUAAGACUGCAUCACUUGAACGUCGGAGAGGUGAGUGGAAUUCCGAGUGUAGAGGUGAAAUUCGUAGAUAUUCGGAAGAACACCAGUGGCGAAGGCGGCUCACUGGACGACUGUUGACGCUGAGGUGCGAAAGCGUGGGGAGCAAACAGG